rnacentral:rRNA from 1 species
UACGUAGGUGGCAAGCGUUGUUCGGAAUUAUUGGGCGUAAAGGGCGCGUAGGCGGUUUGUUAAGUCGGCUGUGAAAGCCCGGGGCUCAACCCCGGAGGGUCAGCCGAUACUGGCAGACUAGAGUACGGAAGAGGUAGCUGGGAUUCCCGGUGUAGCGGUGAAAUGCGUAGAUAUUGGGAGGAACACCAGUGGCGAAGGCGGCUCACUGGACCGGUUCUGACGCUGAUGCGCGAAAGCGUGGGGAGCAAACGGG